rnacentral:tmRNA from 1 species
GGGGGUGAAAGGUCUCGACUCCGUAUGUCGAGACAGGUGAAGCGGGCCGAGGACCGCAUUGCUGACCUCGUAAAAAAAGCGAUGCAACACCAACAAGCGCCGAUUCCAAUCAGCGCGAGUUCGCCCUCGCUGCGUAAGUAGCGGAGCGACUCUGUCAGUCCGGGAGGGUCACCGGCCCGGUGCCUGGCAUCAGCUAGGUGGCUUACCGUUCGCGCCGGUCGCGGGUGCGGACGGGACAACCCACAGCGACUGGACCCGUCACACCGGCUCGUGUGCAUGACCGGUGGGGCCGAGUAGAGGCACCGCACACUGCGCCCGGAGAAGACCUGUCAACACAGCGGAGGACGCGGGUUCGAUUCCCGCCACCUCCACCG